GCGGAAGGGAAGCUCAUUGCUGAGGUCACCUACUGAGCGCGUCACGUUAGUGAUGUCACUCCCAUAUAUAUAUAUAUAUAUACCUCAGGGAAGGUCUGAGAGAAGAGCCCAUUGUCGCCCUUACAGGGUGUCACCCGAUACUCAGGGUGAGUGAGUCCCCAGCAACCCCACGCUGGAGUGGACCGGCCCGUCACGUGGUGUGGGACCAUGCAGAAGACGCCUUGCAGCGUGGUUGGGGGGAGGCUGUGCCGCAGAUUGAGGCUCAUCCCUCGCCCCUCCCACGUCUCGCACGGCUGAUGCAGUCUCACAUUCCGGGUCUUGGAAGUGACUCACGGCUUGCAGUGUUAGUCCAAUGGCUGAGGCAAGGUAGCUGCACGGGAUGUGUGCGCACCCUGUAACCCAAUUCAGACUACUCUCCCGCCGC